rnacentral:lncRNA from 1 species
UCUGGGCCCCCGCGGCCAGUUUCAGGGGGUGUCCCUUAUCCUCCCGGACGCAGCGUCCGGGCUCCCUAGGCCUGGACUUCCCAGUCCACGAGAACCACCCAGCGAGGGUUCCUACGUCCCGAACCGGGACAACCCCGAGCAGUGCCACUUGCGGGUGACCUGCAGCAGAGUAGGAAGUAGGAACCCCGCCUCCUCUUCCGCUAAAGGGUGGCGGCCGGCGGUGACGCGAUGGCGUUUUGCCUCAUGGGUCUAAGUCCCCUUAGACUGUCAAACCCCAGCCAGCAUAGCUGGUACCUACACGGCCGUGUGCACUGUCACUUAAGGACACUUCACAUGAAGCGCAGACGACAUCUAUACGGCCCUCUAUGCACCAGGAACCGUUCUAGUUCUGCAAGAAAAGCUGCAGUAUCAUGGUCAUCACUGUCCUCUUCAAAAUCUCCAUCUUCCUCUUCUGUUAGAGGACCAUCUGCAUGGAGGUUGCAGUAAGAAUCUGGUCUAACUGAGGCUCCUUUGAACACGGAAGAGGAGGUCAUGUGUUCUCAGGUUGGAAAAUUCCUAUUUUUUCUCUUCCAGCAGCUCUCUCUCUUCCAGUUUUCCCCUAAAGUCAUAAUUACGAACCUCCUCAGGGGUAUCCUGAGUAGUUUGUAUUUUAUCUUUGUAUGAGAGGGAAGUCCCCUGCUUGAAUAUUGCUUUGAGAGUGCUCAAUUCACCUUUUCCUUUUCCUCCUCUACCCCUUGUGGGUUCAAAAGUUGGCCUGGCUGUUGUCAUUUCUUAUGAAAGGCCUCCCACAGAAUCAGGUGUGGAAGAGUCCAAAGGGCUGUCUAUGUGCUGGAGACCAGAGGAUCCAGGCGAAGGCCUGUAGCUCAUGGUAGUGUCCCUGGUAAGUCUGUUAUCAGGAGGUUGAAGGGUCUGUGCUGGAAGCCAGGAGAUGACAUCCAGG